rnacentral:rRNA from 1 species
GACGAACGCUGGCGGCGUGCUUAACACAUGCAAGUCGAACGGAAAGGCCCUGCUUUUGUGGGGUGCUCGAGUGGCGAACGGGUGAGUAACACGUGAGUAACCUGCCCUUGACUUUGGGAUAACUUCAGGAAACUGGGGCUAAUACCGGCUAGGAGCUCCUGCUGCAUGGUGGGGGUUGGAAAGUUUCGGCGGUUGGGGAUGGACUCGCGGCUUAUCAGCUUGUUGGUGGGGUAGUGGCUUACCAAGGCUUUGACGGGUAGCCUGCCUGAGAGGGUGACCGGACACAUUGGGACUGAGAUACGGCCCAGACUACUACGGGAGGCAGCAGUGGGGAAUAUUGCACAAUGGGCGGAAGCCUGAUGUAGCAACGCCGCGUGCGGGAUGACGGCCUUCGGGUUGUAAACCGCUUUCGCCUGUGACGAAGCGUGAGUGACGGUAAUGGGUAAAGAAGCACCGGCUAACUACGUG